UAAGCGGAGGAAAAGAAACUAACAAGGNUUCCCCUAGUAACUGCGAGUGAAGCGGGAAAAGCUCAAAUUUAAAAUCUGGUGGUCUUUGGCCGUCCGAGUUGUANNUUAGAGANGCGUCUNNCGCGCUGGACCGUGCACAAGUCUCCUGGAACGGAGCGUCGUAGAGGGUGAGAAUCCCGUCUUUGGCAUGGACACACCAGGGCUUUUGCGAUGCGCUCUCGAAGAGUCGAGUUGUUUGGGAAUGCAGCUCAAAAUGGGUGGUGAACUCCAUCUAAAGCUAAAUAUUGGCGAGAGACCGAUAGCGAACAAGUCCCGUGAGGGAAAGAUGAAAAGCACUUUGGAAAGAGAGUGAAACAGUACGUGAAAUUGNNGAAAGGGAAACGCUUGAAGUCAGUCGCGUCGUCCGAGACUCAGCCUCGCCUCGGCUUGGCGUACUUCUCGGCCCGACGGGUCAGCAUCAAUUUCGCCUCUCGGAUAAUGGCGAGGGAAAAGUGACACCUUUACGGUGUGUUAUAGUCUCUCGUCGCAUGCGAGGGUCGGGAUUGAGGAACUCAGCACGCGCCCUCGGGCGUCGGGGCUUUCGCCCACGAUACGUGCUUAGGAUGUUGGCGUAAUGGCUUUAAACGACC
rnacentral:rRNA from 1 species